rnacentral:rRNA from 1 species
AGAGCGAACGCUGGCGGCAGGCUUAACACAUGCAAGUCGAGCGGGCGUAGCAAUACGUCAACGGCAGACGGGUGAGUAACGCGUGGGAACGUACCUUUUGGUUCGGAACAACCCAGGGAAACUUGGGCUAAUACCGGAUAAGCCCUUACGGGGAAAGAUUUAUCGCCGAAAGAUCGGCCCGCGUCUGAUUAGCUAGUUGGUGAGGUAAUGGCUCACCAAGGCGACGAUCAGUAGCUGGUCUGAGAGGAUGAUCAGCCACAUUGGGACUGAGACACGGCCCAAACUCCUACGGGAGGCAGCAGUGGGGAAUAUUGGACAAUGGGCGCAAGCCUGAUCCAGCCAUGCCGCGUGAGUGAUGAAGGCCCUAGGGUUGUAAAGCUCUUUUGUGCGGGAAGAUAAUGACGGUACCGCAAGAAUAAGCCCCGGCUAACUUCGUGCCAGCAGCCGC